AGAAGGAAGCUUGCUUCUUUCAAAUCUAGUGGCAAACGGGUGAGUAACACGUAAANAACCUGCCUUCAGGAUGGGGACAACAGACGGAAACGACUGCUAAUACCGAAUACGUCCUUAGGUCGCAUGACUUUAGGAAGAAAAGGGUGGCCUCUACUUGUAAGCUAUCGCCUGAAGAGGGGUUUGCGUCUGAUUAGGUAGUUGGUGAGGUAACGGCCCACCAAGCCGACGAUCAGUAGCCGGUCUGAGAGGAUGAACGGCCACAUUGGGACUGAGAUACGGCCCAGACUCCUACGGGAGGCAGCAGUGGGGAAUAUUGCACAAUGGGGGGAACCCUGAUGCAGCGACGCCGCGUGGAGGAAGAAGGUCUUCGGAUUGUAAACUCCUGUUGUUGGGGAAGAUAAUGACGGUACCCAACAAGGAAGUGACGGCUAACUACGUG
rnacentral:rRNA from 1 species